AAGGCAUCUGGCUCGAACUUUUGGGCUCCACCAAUGUGGAUUUUUGUGCCAAAUGAUGGUGUCUGUCUGACCUUUCAAUAUUUUGUGCUUGAAAAAAAAAUUCAAGAAUAAAUUAAAAUAAAAUGAAUUUAAACUAAAUUUAUUUCUUUAAAAAAAAUUAAUAAAUAUGAAACAUAUGAAUCAUUACAUUUUUCUUUAUCAAUUUGUAUUUUUCUCAAUCAUAAAAAG
rnacentral:misc_RNA from 1 species